rnacentral:rRNA from 1 species
GAUGAACGCUGGCGGCGUGCCUAAUACAUGCAAGUCGAGCGAACAGACGAGGAGCUUGCUCCUUUGACGUUAGCGGCGGACGGGUGAGUAACACGUGGAUAACCUACCUAUAAGACUGGGAUAACUUCGGGAAACCGGAGCUAAUACCGGAUAACAUGUUGAACCGCAUGGUUCAACAGUGAAAGACGGUCUUGCUGUCACUUAUAGAUGGAUCCGCGCCGCAUUAGCUAGUUGGUAAGGUAACGGCUUACCAAGGCAACGAUGCGUAGCCGACCUGAGAGGGUGAUCGGCCACACUGGAACUGAGACACGGUCCAGACUCCUACGGGAGGCAGCAGUAGGGAAUCUUCCGCAAUGGGCGAAAGCCUGACGGAGCAACGCCGCGUGAGUGAAGAAGGUCUUCGGAUCGUAAAACUCUGUUAUUAGGGAAGAACAAAUGUGUAAGUAACUAUGCACGUCUUGACGGUACCUAAUCAGAAAGCCACGGCUAACUACGUGCCAGCAGCCGCGGUAAUACGUAGGUGGCAAGCGUUAUCCGGAAUUAUUGGGCGUAAAGCGCGCGUAGGCGGUUUUUUAAGUCUGAUGUGAAAGCCCACGGCUCAACCGUGGAGGGUCAUUGGAAACUGGAAAACUUGAGUGCAGAAGAGGAAAGUGGAAUUCCAUGUGUAGCGGUGAAAUGCGCAGAGAUAUGGAGGAACACCAGUGGCGAAGGCGACUUUCUGGUCUGUAACUGACGCUGAUGUGCGAAAGCGUGGGGAUCAAACAGGAUUAGAUACCCUGGUAGUCCACGCCGUAAACGAUGAGUGCUAAGUGUUAGGGGGUUUCCGCCCCUUAGUGCUGCAGCUAACGCAUUAAGCACUCCGCCUGGGGAGUACGACCGCAAGGUUGAAACUCAAAGGAAUUGACGGGGACCCGCACAAGCGGUGGAGCAUGUGAUUUAAUUCGAAGCAACGCGAAGAACCUUACCAAAUCUUGACAUCCUCUGACCCCUCUAGAGAUAGAGUUUUCCCCUUCGGGGGACAGAGUGACAGGUGGUGCAUGGUUGUCGUCAGCUCGUGUCGUGAGAUGUUGGGUUAAGUCCCGCAACGAGCGCAACCCUUAAGCUUAGUUGCCAUCAUUAAGUUGGGCACUCUAAGUUGACUGCCGGUGACAAACCGGAGGAAGGUGGGGAUGACGUCAAAUCAUCAUGCCCCUUAUGAUUUGGGCUACACACGUGCUACAAUGGACAAUACAAAGGGUAGCGAAACCGCGAGGUCAAGCAAAUCCCAUAAAGUUGUUCUCAGUUCGGAUUGUAGUCUGCAACUCGACUACAUGAAGCUGGAAUCGCUAGUAAUCGUAGAUCAGCAUGCUACGGUGAAUACGUUCCCGGGUCU